GAAAGAGCUGGACGGAGCGAGAGCGUUCCGGUGUUCGCGUUUGCGUUUCUCGAGCUUAACCUCUGACCGAGUUGUGGCUGGGUGGUGAAGUUUUAACUGAAAUGGAAAGGCUUUUCGUUAUGAUGCUACAGUUGGCGCGCUGUGAGCUAGACCCUACCAAAACUUGAGGGAGGAGAAGCUAAGAGAAGUCGGAGAGAGAGUUGGUGGCAGAAGAAGUAGAUGUUAAAUUUAAAAACCCUAUUUUGUAUGGAAUAUAGGGAACUGUGCUGUCUUCUUUAUAAGUCCUAAAGUGAUAAGCUUAUUAGGAAAAAAUCUUAAAAGAAACAACCCUGCCUCUUGAUUCCUGGUGAAAAGGAGCUGAAGAAGUUUACCAUCAAAGUGCUGGCAGAUUUGGUGUCUGGAAUGAAUAUUAUGUAUGACUGGGGAGCACCUUCCAUGGUCAGUGUUAUAAAACCAGAACCUAUUGAUGAAGUCCUAAUGGAAGCUACAGCUAAGAAAGUAAAGGCUGAUGAAAUUAAGGGACCACCUGGCUGUCUCAAAGUGGAUACACCAUUUUACACUUCCACCUGAAGGUUUCAGUUUCUCCUCAUCCUCAAUACUUGUCAUUAUCUGGAUUUUGACUCACAUCCUCUUGGUGCUCUGCCUGUUAGUUCUGUUGGUCUCCUUUGGGUCUCUCACAUGGCCACAGUCAGCUGGAAACUGAGGCUGGAAAUCUCCAGGGUAGCUUCACUCAUGUAUCUGAUCCCUCACUGGGCAUGUCUGGAAGGCCAGACUCAGCUGGGACACUGGCAAGCUUCCUGUUGGAGAAACACGUUGCCAUGUUGUGUGCAGCUGUGAGGAGGCCACCUGGCAGAAUACCGAAGUCUCUGGCCAAUGGUCAGUUAGGAGCUGUGUCCUGCCAACAACCGUGUGAAUGAACUUGGAAGUGAACUCUGCAGCCCUAUUCUGGCCUUGAGACAACUGGAGCCCCAGCCAAAUCUUGACUGCAACCUCAUGUGAGACCUUGAGCCAGAAUCACCUGGCUAAGUCACUCUCAGAUUACUAAACCUCAGGAAU